GGUAGGUGGCAAGCGUUGUCCGGAAUUAUUGGGCGUAAAGCGCGCGCAGGCGGUUCUUUAAGUCUGAUGUGAAAGCCCACGGCUCAACCGUGGAGGGUCAUUGGAAACUGGAGAACUUGAGUACAGAAGAGGAAAGCGGAAUUCCACGUGUAGCGGUGAAAUGCGUAGAGAUGUGGAGGAACACCAGUGGCGAAGGCGGCUUUUCUGGUCUGUAACUGACGCUGAGGCGCGAAAGCGUGGGGAGCAAACAGGGAUUAGAUACCCUGGUAGUCCACGCCGUAAACGAUGAGUGCUAAGUGUUAGGGGGUUUCCGCCCCCUUAGUGCUGCAGCUAACGCAUUAAGCACUCCGCCUGGGGAUACGGCCGCAAAGGCUG
rnacentral:rRNA from 1 species